AACGAACGCUGGCGGCAGGCCUCAAACAUGCAAGUCUAGGGGGUGUAGCAAUACAUCACCGGCGGACGGGUGCGUAACGCGUGGGAAUAUACCUAUCGAUUCGGAACAACUGAGGGAAACUUCAGCUAAUACCGAAUACGUCCUAACGGAGAAAGAUUUAUCGUCGAUAGAUUAGCCCGCGUUCGAUUAGCUAGUUGGUGGGGUAACGGCCCACCAAGGCGACGAUCGAUAGCUGUUCUGAGAGGAAGAUCAGCCACACUGGGACUGAGACACGGCCCAGACUCCUACGGGAGGCAGCAGUUGGGAAUCUUGGACAAUGGGGGAAACCCUGAUCCAGCCAUGCCGCGUGAGUGAUGAAGGCCUUCGGGUUGUAAACUCUUCGCGCACGACGAUAAUGACGGUAGUGCGAGAAGAAGCUCCGGCUAACUUCGUGCCAGCAGCCGCGGUAA
rnacentral:rRNA from 1 species